GUUCAGCUCCUCCAGCACCUCCUCCAGGCCUCCGUCUGCAGGAACAACAGAACCUUUCAACCCAAACCAGCGGCACCGCUUCAGCGUCGGAGGCCUUCUCCAGGCUUCCAGCAGAAGAAUCUUCUCCCUCAUCAGAAACCUCACUUGAUCCCAAAGUUCAGGAGGAUUUCUCUUCAUGGAUCCACGGUGGAGAAACGGAACUGAAGGAAGACUGAAGGGGAAAUGAAAGUCCUUCAAAUGAUUCCUGAUCUCCGUGAGCCUUCAGGCCCGGCAUGCAUGAACGUCCUCCUCUGACCAUCUAUGAAGCUACAUUUGUCCCAGUUUCUGCUCAGAGCAAAUAUGAAAACGUCUGUUUCCUUUUCUAGAUGCUUCGUUUCCUGGAUCUGCUUCAGAAAUAGAGACUCUUGAUUUCUUGGCGUGAUUGCUUCCCUUCUUGAAGAAGAGGAGUUCUUUCUCCAGAGCUCUGAUUCGUCACAUAUUAAGGAACAUAAACCUUUCCACGCGCAGACAAAGAGGAGACGGCAGGGACGAAGAUCCAGGCUCAUCUCCGUCUGCAGAAGUGAUGAAUCAAAGAAAGUGAUGUGGUGCCGAUCUCCUGCUCUUCCUCACUUUGAGGAUCCUUCAAACUGAUCACAGGGAGAAAGUCCCAGAUAAUAUUCUGACCGAUCACCCUUGUUUGGAUCAGAAUGUUUAGUUUUCCUGUGAGGCUGGAUCCGUUUCAGAGUCGUUCCACCUGGAAGUCUCCUGUUCUGGAGCUCCUGCUCCUUCAAUGUUUUCGUCUCUGGUCUCCGAACGCUCGUCUGUUAGAAACUGAACUCUGUUUACUGCAAACAAACCAGCUGCUGCUUCAUCCCUGCACAGACAGGAAGCAGCUCGUCUU